AUGCGGCAGCUUACCAUGCAAGUCGAACGGUAGCACAAAGGAGCUUGCUCCUUGGGUGACGAGUGGCGGACGGGUGAGUAAUGCUUGGGAAUCUGGCUUAUGGAGGGGGAUAACUACUGGAAACGGUAGCUAAUACCGCGUAAUGUCUACGGACUAAAGGGUGGGACCUUCGGGCCACCUGCCAUAAGAUGAGCCCAAGUGGGAUUAGGUAGUUGGUGAGGUAAUGGCUCACCAAGCCCGCGAUCUCUAGCUGGUCUGAGAGGAUGACCAGCCACACUGGAACUGAGACACGGUCCAGACUCCUACGGGAGGCAGCAGUGGGGAAUAUUGCACAAUGGGGGGAACCCUGAUGCAGCCAUGCCGCGUGAAUGAAGAAGGCCUUCGGGUUGUAAAGUUCUUUCGGUGAUGAGGAAGGUGUUUUGUUUAAUAGACAAAGCAAUUGACGUUAGUCACAGAAGAAGCACCGGCUAACUCCGUGCCAGCAGCCGCGGUAAU
rnacentral:rRNA from 1 species